GACGAACGCUGGCGGCGUGCUUAACACAUGCAAGUCGAACGCUGAAGCUCAGCUUGCUGGGUGGAUGAGUGGCGAACGGGUGAGUAACACGUGAGUAACCUGCCCUCUUCUUUGGGAUAACGCCCGGAAACGGGUGCUAAUACUGGAUAUUCACUGAUUCUCGCAUGGGGGUUGGUGGAAAGGUUUUUUCUGGUGGGGGAUGGGCUCGCGGCCUAUCAGCUUGUUGGUGGGGUGAUGGCCUACCAAGGCUUUGACGGGUAGCCGGCCUGAGAGGGUGACCGGUCACAUUGGGACUGAGAUACGGCCCAGACUCCUACGGGAGGCAGCAGUGGGGAAUAUUGCACAAUGGGCGAAAGCCUGAUGCAGCGACGCCGCGUGAGGGAUGGAGGCCUUCGGGUGGUAAACCUCUUUCGCUCAUGGUCAAGCCGCAGCUUUGGGUUGUGGUGAGGGUAGUGGGUAAAGAAGCGCCGGCUAACUACGUG
rnacentral:rRNA from 1 species